rnacentral:lncRNA from 1 species
GCAGCUAAUCAAUAUGUGAAAUUUAUUUCAGAAAAUUAUCCAACAAGAGAGAGCAUAAUUUAGUUGACACACAAUAAUUUUUUUAUUUAUUUCCUCUCCUGGGAAACAUGGUACACGUAAAUAGACAAAGAAAAUCUUUUGUAUAUCUCAAGAGAUCAUAUCAAUUGAACAUAAACGAACUAACACUUGCUUGAUUGAUAGGUAAAGCAGUACCCAUAUUUUUAUUCAAUUAAACACAACAGAAAAGAAUAACAUUUUAAUUAACCAGUGCGGUCGGCAUUUCUCCCAUAUUGAGGGACAACAAGAAAAUCCAGAUCCUCAUUCGCAAUGCCACCAUCUGAAAUGCUGAGAAGAGGAAAUAGUGCAACGACCCCCUCCGACCAACUGUUAUCUCCUGAAAAUUUAUAAUAGAAAACUUAGUCGUGAGUAACAUUUCAAAAUUAUAAGAAUCGUAAUUCAACUGAAAAUGGCCUAAAAACCUGCGCAAGUAGUUUCCAUAUUCUUCAAAUCGAAAAGAUCUCUGCUUCGGUAGUCAAAACUCAAGAAGUAGUCAAGUUGCUUCUGCGAGUUUUUGCUAUUUGGGAAAUACACAUAUAUGGUCUAUAUAUAGAUAGACUGAAGUAGCCGACGAUAGUGCCAAGGUGGGUGAUUGGGGCGUAUUUAAUUAUUUACAAGACGACCUAACAACAUUACAUAAUACCGUCUUUUCUUUGAAAAUGCUCUGUUGUUUUCUGAAACAUUUUUUAAUGGCUCAGAAGCAUCUCAUGGCAGAUAAUUGAAGAUCUGUAGUCGGUGCUGGACUCGACAAACAUAGUCCUUUACUUUGCU